rnacentral:rRNA from 1 species
AKUGUAMCGYGAAACUGCRAAUGGCUCRUUAAAUCAGUUAUCGUUUAUUUGAUAGUAUCUCACUUACAUGGAUAACCGUGGUAAUUCUAGAGCUAAUACAUGCUAAAGACCUCGACUUCGGGAGGGGUGUAUUUAUUAGAUAAAAAACCAAUGCCCUCCGGGGCUCCUUGGUGAUUCAUGAUAACUCAACGAAUCGCAUGGCCUUGCGCCGGCGAUGGUUCAUUCAAAUUUCUGCCCUAUCAACUUUCGAUGGUAGGAUAGUGGCCUACCAUGGUGGCAACGGGUGGCGAUUCCCGCUGUUGCCCGUCGCCUCAUGGUCGUGUUGGGGGGCGCCUUUACGGGUCCAUCUCCCGGCAACAUCACUGGCUCARAGGACGUUCCCCCCGGGGGCUGAUUCUGAGGCGAGCUCCUCCCGGGGAGGAGCCGCCCCAACGCAUGCGAAGUGAUGGGUCCCUUGGUCGAGGGACUUUAGACACAUGCUUUACCGCCCGGGCAUCUCACCGGUCGCGGCAAUUUGAACGGGGAAUUAGGGUUCUAUUCCGGARAGGGAGCCUGAGAAACGGCUACCACAUCCAAGGAAGGCAGCAGGCGCGCAAAUUACCCAAUCCCGACACGGGGAGGUAGUGACAAUACGUAUCGAUAUGGAGCUCUUUAGGGUUUCAUAAUUGAAAUGAGUACAAUUUAAAUCCCUUAACGAGGAACAAUUGGAGGGCAAGUCUGGUGCCAGCAGCCGCGGUAAUUCCAGCUCCAAUAGCGUAUAUUAAAGUUGUUGCAGUUAAAAAGCUCGWAGUUUGAACCUUGGGCCUGGCUGACCGGUCCGCCUCACCGCGUGCACUGGUUCGGCCGGGCCUUUCCUCCUGGGGAACCGCAUGCCCUUCGCUGGGUGUGCCGGGGAACCAAGACUUUUACUUUGAAAAAAUUARAGUGUUCAAAGCAGGCCUAUGCUCGGAUACAUUAGCAUGGAAUAAUARAWWAGGACGUGCGGUUCUAUUUUGUUGUUUCUAGGACC